UACAGAGGGUGCGAGCGUUAAUCGGAAUUACUGGGCGUAAAGCGCGCGUAGGCGGCUUUUCAAGUCGAUUGUGAAAUCCCCGGGCUUAACCUGGAACUGCAGUCGAGACUGUCUAGCUAGAGUAUGGGAGAGGAAGUGGAAUUUCAGGUGUAGCGGUGAAAUGCGUAGAUAUCUGAAGGAACAUCAGUGGCGAAAGCGACUUCCUGGACCAAUACUGACGCUCAUGUGCGAAGCGUGGGAGCAAACAGG
rnacentral:rRNA from 1 species